AAUGUUUGGAUUUUUUCCUGGGAACCGCAAAAGUGCAUUACAUGGCAAACUGGCAUCCUGAAUCUGAAUGUUUGGAUAUCUUGCAUUUUCAUGUAGUAGGUGUAUUUCUUAUGCGAGCCAGAGUUUCUUAUUGUUUUAGAUCUGCCUCUAUUAAAACCAAUAAAAAAGUUAAUUGGUAAUAAACAAGUUUGAAUUGCUGAUGAGAAAAUCAUCCUAUAAGGCCCGAUUAUCAAAGCAACAACUAUUGCUUGACAUCACUGCUUUAUCCAUUAGUGCAUAUAGUUAAAUAGAAUGAUAUAGUCUACGUCCUUGUACUGAAAAGAAUGUAUUCAUCUCACCUGCUUGCUCAAGGAACUGAACCACGAUAGGUAGUACAGGGUGAGGACAGUGUAGGAUGAGCAUGAGCCUUUGAGUAAAAGGUUUUUGCCAAGCGUAAUCUUUGUAGGAAGCCUUGUUG
rnacentral:misc_RNA from 1 species